rnacentral:rRNA from 1 species
GUUAUAUGGUCAAGCGAAUAAGCGCACACGGUGGAUGCCUUGGCGGUCAGAGGCGAUGAAGGACGUGGCAGCCUGCGAAAAGUAUCGGGGAGCUGGCAACAAGCUUUGAUCCGGUAAUGUCCGAAUGGGGAAACCCACCCGCUUGCGGGUAUCCUGCAGUGAAUACAUAGCUGCUGGAAGCGAACCUGGUGAACUGAAAUAUCUAAGUAACCAGAGGAAAAGAAAUCAACCGAGAUUCCGUAAGUAGCGACGAGCGAACGCGGACUAGCCCUUAAGCUGGAUUGGUUCUAGGAAAACGCUCUGGAAAGAGCGGCCAUAGAAGGUGAUAGCCCUGUAUCUGAAAGGGCCAUUCCAGUGAAGACGAGUAGGGCGGGGCACGUGAAACCCUGUCUGAACAUGGGGGGACCAUCCUCCAAGGCUAAAUACUACUGACCGACCGAUAGUGAACCAGUACCGUGAGGGAAAGGCGAAAAGAACCCCGGAGAGGGGAGUGAAAUAGAACCUGAAACCGUGUGCGUACAAGCAGUAGGAGCUCCGCAAGGAGUGACUGCGUACCUUUUGUAUAAUGGGUCAGCGACUUACUGUUCGUGGCAAGCUUAACCGUAUAGGGGAGGCGAAGGGAAACCGAGUCUGAUAAGGGCGCAUAGUCGCGGGCAGUAGACCCGAAACCGGGUGAUCUAGUCAUGCCCAGGGUGAAGGUGCGGUAACACGCACUGGAGGCCCGAACCCACUCCCGUUGCAAAGGUAGGGGAUGAGGUGUGAUUAGGAGUGAAAAGCUAAUCGAACCCGGAGAUAGCUGGUUCUCCUCGAAAGCUAUUUAGGUAGCGCCUCAUAUGUAUCCUCUCGGGGGUAGAGCACUGUUAUGGCUAGGGGGUCAUCGCGACUUACCAAACCAUUGCAAACUCCGAAUACCGAGACGGACUGUAUGGGAGACACACGGCGGGUGCUAACGUCCGUCGUGAAAAGGGAAACAACCCAGACCCACAGCUAAGGUCCCAAAUUUUGUGCUAAGUGGAAAACCAUGUGGAAAGGCACAGACAGCCAGGAGGUUGGCUUAGAAGCAGCCACCCUUUAAAGAAAGCGUAAUAGCUCACUGGUCGAGUCGGUCUGCGGGGAAGAUUUAACGGGGCUAAGCACAGAACCGAAGCUUGGGGUGCAUAACUUUGUUAUGCGCGGUAGAGGAGCGUUCCGUAAGCCGUUGAAGGUGGAUUGAGAAGUCUGCUGGAGGUAUCGGAAGUGCGAAUGCUGACAUGAGUAACGAUAAUGCGGGUGAAAAACCCGCACGCCGAAAGCCCAAGGUUUCCUUGCGCAACGUUAAUCGGCGCAGGGUGAGUCGGCCCCUAAGGCGAGGACGAAAGUCGUAGUCGAUGGGAAGCAGGUUAAUAUUCCUGCACCUCGCGUAAGUGCGAUGGAGGGACGGAGAAGGUUAGGUGUACCAGGCGUUGGUUGUCCUGGGGAAAGGCGGUAGGUUUGGAUCUUUGGCAAAUCCGGGAUCCUUUAAGACCGAGCACCGAGACGAGCCUUUAAGGCGAAGUCACUGAUACCACGCUUCCAGGAAAAGCUCCUAAGCUUCAGCUUACGCAGACCGUACCGUAAACCGACACAGGUGGGUAGGAUGAGAAUUCUCAGGCGCUUGAGAGAACUCGGGUGAAGGAACUAGGCAACAUGGCACCGUAACUUCGGGAGAAGGUGCACCCUUUUUGGUGGCUCGUGCGAGCUAUAGCUGAAGAGGGUCGCAGUAACCAGGCCGCUGCGACUGUUUAUCAAAAACACAGCACUCUGCAAACACGAAAGUGGACGUAUAGGGUGUGACGCCUGCCCGGUGCUGGAAGGUUAAUUGAUGGGGUCAGCCGCAAGGCGAAGCUCUUGAUCGAAGCCCCAGUAAACGGCGGCCGUAACUAUAACGGUCCUAAGGUAGCGAAAUUCCUUGUCGGGUAAGUUCCGACCUGCACGAAUGGCGUAACGACAGCGGCGCUGUCUCCACCCGAGACUCAGUGAAAUUGAAAUCGCUGUGAAGAUGCAGCGUUCCCGUGGCAAGACGGAAAGACCCCGUGAACCUUUACUAUAGCUUUACACUGAACGUUGAGUUCGUCUGUGUAGGAUAGGUGGGAGGCUAUGAAACUGUGGCGCUAGCUGCAGCGGAGCCAUCCUUGAAAUACCACCCUGUCGUGCUUGACGUUCUAACCUGGGCCCAUUAUCUGGGUCGGGGACCGUGUAUGGUGGGUAGUUUGACUGGGGCGGUCUCCUCCUAAAGAGUAACGGAGGAGCUCGAAGGUACGCUCAGCGCGGUCGGACAUCGCGCACUGUGUGCAAAGGCAUAAGCGUGCUUGACUGCAAGAUCGACGGAUCAAGCAGGUAGGAAACUAGGACUUAGUGAUCCGGUGGUUCUGUAUGGAAGGGCCAUCGCUCAACGGAUAAAAGGUACUCCGGGGAUAACAGGCUGAUACCGCCCAAGAGUUCAUAUCGACGGCGGUGUUUGGCACCUCGAUGUCGGCUCAUCACAUCCUGGGGCUGUAGUCGGUCCCAAGGGUAUGGCUGUUCGCCAUUUAAAGUGGUACGCGAGCUGGGUUCAGAACGUCGUGAGACAGUUCGGUCCCUAUCUGCCAUGGGCGUUGGAGAUUUGAGAGGGGCUGCUCCUAGUACGAGAGGACCGGAGUGGACGAACCUCUGGUGUUCCGGUUGUCACGCCAGUGGCAUUGCCGGGUAGCUAUGUUCGGAAGCGAUAACCGCUGAAAGCAUCUAAGCGGGAAGCGCGCCUCAAGAUGAGAUCUCCCGGGGCACAAGCCCCCUGAAGGAACCAUGUAGACUACGUGGUUGAUAGGUCAGGUGUGUAAGUACAGCAAUGUAUUGAGCUAACUGAUACUAAUGAUCCGUGCGGCUUGACCAUAUAACCU